AGAGAUGAGGCUUGUGCAGCCAUAACAGCUUGCCUAGGAAUGUUGGUUUUUCUUUUGACCGUGGUGAGGUCUUUCAAGAAUUUUGUAUAGGAGAAAAUUUGUCGUAUGACAUCGAGGAAAGGUAUAUUUAUUUGAACAGUUUUAAAGACUUCCAUUAUUUCAUCAAAGUUAGAUUAUUUCUUGGAGUCCCGAAGUCUACUGGGAAAGGGAACCUUAGGUUUGUAUGUUUCUAUGGGUUCUUCCUUUUUUUCUGAUUUAUCCUGUUCUUGACCUCUCUUCUGAAUAGGAUUCUUAUCG
rnacentral:lncRNA from 1 species